AGUGAACGCUGGCGGUAGGCCUAACACAUGCAAGUCGAACGGCAGCACAGUAAGAGCUUGCUCUUACGGGUGGCGAGUGGCGGACGGGUGAGGAAUACAUCGGAAUCUACUUUUUCGUGGGGGAUAACGUAGGGAAACUUACGCUAAUACCGCAUACGACCUACGGGUGAAAGCAGGGGAUCUUCGGACCUUGCGCGAUUGAAUGAGCCGAUGUCGGAUUAGCUAGUUGGCGGGGUAAAGGCCCACCAAGGCGACGAUCCGUAGCUGGUCUGAGAGGAUGAUCGGCCACACUGGAACUGAGACACGGUCCAGAUUCCUACGGGAGGCAGCAGUGGGGAAUAUUGGACAAUGGGCGCAAGCCUGAUCCGGCCAUACCGCGUGGGUGAAGAAGGCCUUCGGGUUGUAAAGCCCUUUUGUUGGGAAAGAAAAGCAGCAGGUUAAUACCCCGCUGUUCUGACGGUACCCAAAGAAUAAGCACCGGCUAACUUCGU
rnacentral:rRNA from 1 species